GGGAAUCUUCGGCAGUGGACGAAAGUCUGACCGAGCAACGCUGCGUGAGUGAAGAAGGUUUUCGGAUCGUAAAACUCUGUUGUUAGAGAAGAACAAGGAUGAGAAGAGAAUGUUCAUCCCUUGACGGUAUCUAACCAGAAAGCCACGACUAACUACGUGGCAGCAGCCGCGGUAAUACGUAGGUGGCAAGCGUUGUCCGGAUUUAUUGGGCGUAAAGCGAGCGCAGGCGGUUCUUUAAGUUUGAUGUGAAAGCCCCCGGCUCAACCGGGGAGGGUCAUUGGAAACUGGGGAACUUGAGUGCAGAAGAGGAGAGUGGAAUUCCAUGUGUAGCGGUGAAAUGCGUAGAUAUAUGGAGGAACACCAGUGGCGAAGGCGGCUCUCUGGUCUGUAACUGACGCUGAGGCUCGAAAGCGUGGGGAGCAA
rnacentral:rRNA from 1 species